UAGGAUUUGGUGUAAUAGGUAGCACGAAGAUUUUUGAGUUCUUAAGGUUGGGUUCAAUUCCCAUAAUCUUAG
rnacentral:tRNA from 1 species